rnacentral:rRNA from 1 species
CUUAGAGUUUGAUCCUGGUUCAGGAUGACCUUUGGCGGCGUGCUUAACACAUGCAAGUCGAACGAACCUUCGGGUUAGUGGCGGACGGGUGAGUAACGCGUGGGAAUCUGCCCUCAGGAGGGGGAUAACGGUUGGAAACGACCGCUAAUACCCCAUAUGCCGAGAGGUGAAACGAAAUUCGCCUGAGGAUGAGCCCGCGUCUGAUUAGCUAGUUGGUGGGGUAAAGGCCUACCAAGGCAUCGAUCAGUAGCUGGUCUGAGAGGAUGAUCAGCCACACUGGGACUGAGACACGGCCCAGACUCCUACGGGAGGCAGCAGUGGGGAAUUUUCCGCAAUGGGCGCAAGCCUGACGGAGCAACGCCGCGUGAGGGAUGAAGGCCUCUGGGCUGUAAACCUCUUUUCUCAAGGAAGAAGAACUGACGGUACUUGAGGAAUAAGCCACGGCUAAUUCCGUGCCAGCAGCCGCGGUAAUACGGGAGUGGCAAGCGUUAUCCGGAAUUAUUGGGCGUAAAGCGUCCGCAGGCGGCCUUGAAAGUCUGUCGUUAAAGCGUGGAGCUUAACUCCAUUUCGGCGGUGGAAACUACAAGGCUUGAGUGUGGUAGGGGCAGAGGGAAUUCCCGGUGUAGCGGUGAAAUGCGUAGAUAUCGGGAAGAACACCAGUGGCGAAGGCGCUCUGCUGGGCCAUAACUGACGCUCAUGGACGAAAGCUAGGGGAGCGAAAAAGAUUAGAUACCCCUGUAGUCCUAGCCGUAAACGAUGAACACUAGGUGUCGGGGGAAUCGACCCCCUCGGUGUCGUAGCUAACGCGUUAAGUGUUCCGCCUGGGGAGUACGCACGCAAGUGUGAAACUCAAAGGAAUUGACGGGGGCCCGCACAAGCGGUGGAGUAUGUGGUUUAAUUCGAUGCAACGCGAAGAACCUUACCAGGGUUUGACAUCCUGCGAAUCCCUUGGAAACUUGGGAGUGCCUUCGGGAGCGCAGAGACAGGUGGUGCAUGGCUGUCGUCAGCUCGUGUCGUGAGAUGCUGGGUUAAGUCCCGCAACGAGCGCAACCCACGUCUUUAGUUGCCAGCAUUUAGUUGGGCACUCUAGAGAGACCGCCGGUGAUAAACCGGAGGAAGGUGUGGAUGACGUCAAGUCAUCAUGCCCCUUACAUCCUGGGCUACACACGUACUACAAUGCUACGGACAAAGGGUUGCAAACUCGCGAGAGCUAGCUAAUCCCAUAAACCGUGGCUCAGUUCAGAUCGUAGGCUGCAACUCGCCUACGUGAAGGAGGAAUCGCUAGUAAUCGCAGGUCAGCAUACUGCGGUGAAUACGUUCCCGGGCCUUGCACUCACCGCCCGUCA